CCUCCUCUCUUUUACUGUCACAAAUUCAUACUCAAAGAAAUCUCAAAUAAAAUAAGAAUUUUGUAGCUUUUAAAAUCAAAAAUUCAAGUUCAACCCAAGCUCCGUUCCGGCUGGAUUUGUCUUCUGAGCGGAGAGUACGAGAGGAGCUUGCAGCAGUAAGCCGGGCAGGGCUUACAGCAGGCUUUUAGCGCGUCAAAAGUUAGUUUCUUGCUGUCUAUAAUGUGUAUAUCACGGGGUUGCUGGGUAGUUAAAAUGCAAAAUAUCCAUGUCUAUUUUCUUGUCGUUAUUUUGUGGAUAUCUCCCAUGUUUUGAUGUAUAUAAUGACUGUUCAUUUUGCAAGGAAACGAUGUGUUCGUAUUAAGUUGGUAAAGUUUUAAGGUCUGUCCAUAUUUCGGUGCAUGUAGUUGCUCUUAUGGAACUUAUUUUUUUUUUUUUGGAACAUUAAUGUAUUCACAAGCCUUAGUAUGUACAGGUCACUUUCCUUUGGAACUUGUUUUCUUCUCAUGUAUCUUGGCUCGUUUUCUUACUGUUAAAAAGAGGUGUACUGUGUACAUUAACUUUGCCUAAAUUUUCGAAGUGAUCUGCGUAGUAUGUUUCCUCUUUACAUGUUUUUCUUCUAGUAAUUAAGUAAGACUAGUAGUGGGAUUUUUAUUUGGAUCUCAUUUUUCAUCGAUUUGAAUACAUAUUGUAGGUCAUUUUAUAUAUACUAUUAUCUGUUUGAACUUUUACUUGUGCAUUUUCAUAUUUUCACAACUAUAUUAGUAAUGCCAAUGUCUUGAACGCCUGUUUUAAAUGUUUAAAAUAAAUGGACCCAAUUGGACAAGUCCUAUUUUAAAUUUUAUGAUCCAACUCUUUAUCUGUAUACAUGCUUCCACAUUUGAGUUGUGAUAAGUGCCUAAAACAUAUCAUUUAAAUAUCAAUUUCGUAUACUUUUCUUAGCUAUUUUCUCUUGUAUUUUCGGAUAUUAUGCUUGUUUUGCAUUUUGUAGGUAUUUUGGAGUCAUGUGAUACAAAAGAAGACAAAUAGGAUCUUAAUUCAUUGCUCGGAGACAUUAGGCGUUCGCGAAGUUGCACCACAUAAGCACCGUGGCUUUAAAGUCUCAAACAUCCAAUCAGCCAAUCUGAAGACUGCUAAAUACAGGCAGACAUUUGUUAAGGAGCACCAGUUCUCAUUACAAUCAUACAUGCCGAACUACUAGGUCGACUUAUUUGUUUUUCCCUUCUCCAGUUUGUCUAGGAUACUCUUGUUACUGAGCCAGAACCUUGAUCGCGGUUAGCCAAGGCUGUUGGGUGCAUGUUCGAAAGAUUAGAAAGUUAAGGCAGUAGGAUAUUGUGUCACGAGUUGUAAGAAGUCAGUUUCAUGUCGAGAAAAACGGGUUAGAGCUGUGAGUUUGUGCCAUUGAUUCCCGGUUAAAUGGAAGAGAUUUGGACAUGGAUUUCGAACCUGAGACAUGGGUUUGUGCUAAAAUGAAGUUGACAGUUAAAGGAAAGAGUUUUAUACGAGUCUGGUUUGGUUUUUAACUUAUUUGCUGCCAAGAGAAGACAAGCUACUGCCAUCGAUUCUAAGUGAUGAAUGAUAGAAAAUGGAGUUGGCUUGCGUGUUUGUGAAUGUUUAGAAAUGUGGAUUGUGUAUGAAUGUGAUUGUUACAGGGAAGGAGAUAUUGAGAGCUUAAGAAUCUACAGCAAGCUGAAGAUCGCAUUAUCACCAGAACGCACAAUCAGCUUGGUAAAAUGCCUGAGUGAGUACUCUUACACCAGUCCACUUCACAGCAGCAGCUAACCAUGAGUUUGGGUCAUCGGGGUUCGAACUACAAUGGUUUAAUGAGAAGUUUGUAUACAGAAAAGAACAAGACAGAAGUGGCUUGAACUCUGGUGGUCUUUGUUGAGUUUAUGGGUCAUAUUUUGAGCAUUGAAACAACAAGAAAAAUUGAUGUGCUGCCGUGACUUGGAGGGUCUGUACCAAGGGUUAGGACCGAGAUUCAAGGUUAAGAAUGGCAGGGAACUUCACCGACAAGGGUUAUAUGGAAUUCAGUUUUGAGCGAGAAUUUAGUUCCAAGUUUUGUUGCUUUCGCCGUUGAUUGGCAUGACUGAAUGGAGGGGAUUCGAACCUGUUUGAGAGUUUGUGAAUGAAUGGGAGACUUGGGUCGCUUUGGCAGGAGGUAAUUGAGUUAUAAAUACAGACGGAAGGCUACAGAUUGAUAUCAUCCCAUACCCCCUCUCACGCCUGUUUUGCAUCACCACCAGAGAGGAGCUCUCUGCUCUUCUCCAAUCAUCACCACCUCCAUCACCUGCACACAUCUUCCAUCUCCAUACUCUAUUUCACCACCUGCAUAUCCACCAUUACCAUCAGCACAACAUACAUCCAUCAGUUUCAUUCAUCCACCUGCAUCUCCACAGCAUACUCGUCAGCACCUGCAUACAACCUUCAGCAGCGCAGCAGUCCGGUUCUACCUAUUACCAUCAUUCGCAGCAACCAGUAUCCGACAGUUCAGCUCAAGGCUACAAUUCAUCGCCACCAGUCUGUCUACAGGCGUCCCAUAUCAUCCGCAGCACCUCAUACUCCAUUACCACCCUACCAAUAUCAUGUCAUCACGAGCUGGACACAGUUGUGUCAUUGGUUUGCAUUGAAUUUUAGUUCUGCUUCUAUCUAAAUUUGCAAUGAACUCCACUGUUAUGCGAAGCUAAUUCUUGUUUGGUUGGGGAUUUUUCAGAAGCUAUGUGACUUGAUUUUAUGAUUCUCAAUAUUGUUUUAUUGUUUGUUAUC